rnacentral:lncRNA from 1 species
CACCCACCGGAAACUUUUUAAACUUCCCAAGGAUCCUCUUAAAUUUCCGACCCUUACAUGACGUUUAAGAAUGCGCAAUUAACUAGAUACGCAGUUAUAAAAGGGAGACAUAUCUUACGCGUUUUUCUUUUUUCUCGUUUACAAAGUAAAACAAACGAAAACUCUAGUGUUUGUGUGCAAAACAUUUCGUUCUUACAUUUAUUUUUUAAUUCUGUCUAUUUUGAAUCAGGUCAGGUCACAGUUUUCAUGAAUGCAGGAAAAUCAAUAAUAUUUUCUAAUCAUAUCUGUCGAACAUUAAUAAUUAAAUUUAAUCUCAUAUUACAUUUAGCAAGUGAUACUAUCGAUCGUAUCCUUGUGUUACACGGUUUCUGAACCAUGUACCAAGAUGUCGCGACGAUGCAGCUGAUGCUCCUCCAAGUGCGCGAAAAUAAAGAAGCAUCAUAUGCAGUAAACAUUAAUUGACAAUUUGAAUUGUAAAAUUUUCAGCUAGUAUACGCUGCUUUUGUAUUUAUUGACGAAAAGCUACUUAAUAAUUGUUUUGCAUACAUACAUAUAUAUGUGAUGAUCGUUCUUCAGUAUCAACUUUAAUUGAAUGUUUAGACUAAUUGAAGCACAAGUUCUGUAGAAUAUUAAAAAAGUCCUUUAUAUCAUAAAUUUUAGAAGAACAAUGAUUGUUUUCUGACGAAUGGCUGGAGGGAACUUUUCUUAAAAAUUUCUAAAUUAACUAUCGAACUGUACAAAAAAUAAUUGUUGAAUUAAAUAAAGAACCGUAUUAAUUAAUAUCAUAAGGGGACCAUAAUAAUAAAUCUAAUAAGAAAGUUUUAACGAAAGAAUCAAUGGAUAUUUUCGGAUUUCGAGAAAUACAAGUUUGCUAUUCAUAUUUAUGUGCCAAAUUUAUUAAUAAUAAUUGGUUUUACAAUUUAGUUCAUUCACAGGGUUGAUAUAUUCGCAAUCAAUACCACGAGAUAUCGCGUGACAAAAAUACGGAAGACGUUAAAGGAACGCGUAUUUUUUCGCGAGGCGCCAAUUAACUGUGUUACUCGCAACCUAUUACCUCUGUCACACGAACUGCAUUCUCUUCUCGCAUUUGCACGGCGUGGCUGGAAUAACCAGGCGCAUAAAAAAGCACGAGGCGGGGAAAUAUAGCCAAAUGGUACGGUAGUACGUACCCCUUCUCGAAGUGGAAACGUCGGGCCCUGAUCGAACUCACGGCCCUCAUUUGCAUACAAUCGCCCUUGCAUUGGAUCUCGCGCACUCUGGCCGCGUGCAUACAUUCUCCUCCUCUUCCACUUCUUGUAUUUUUUUUUCUUCUUUCUCUUUUCCUCUUAAUGGCAGGCAGCGUGCACGCUAAUUCAUUGUAUAUUUAAUAUCCAGGCAUCUGCGCGCGGCGCGCCGGUGUGCGGUGUUGUUUUUGCUCGACGAGGCACGAAAAGGAGAAAAUGCGUCGCAGCGCAUCGAGCCAGAGGGAAAGGGCAAAUGCGAGGGCGGCAAGAGGGCGAGAAGGGUUGUGCAGGAGGGCGGGAACGGGGACGCGCCGGGGAGAGAGAGAGAGAGAGAGAGAGAGAGAGAGAGAGGAAGAGAGAGACAAUCGCGGACAUGGCGCGACGCGUCAUUGCACGUGCACGUGCAUUGAUACCGAUAUUUAUGCCCGCCAGUUAAUCAUGUCAAAGUCGUUUGAUUUGUCGUUGGCUUUUAUGGAGGGGAAUUAAAACGUUCAUUUCGCCACAGACACUCGCCAACAGUGACUGUCCUGCUGGUGCCGCUACUGGCCGUAUGAGUUAUUCUGUCGGCAGCCUUCAGGCCGAGCGGUGGGGAUGAGCUUUUUGUAAAAUUAGCGUGCCUCGUUUACGCCGGCGAAUUUGCAUUUUUAACGCGAGCCAGCGUGUCGGCCGGCCUUUUUUUUUUACCCGCCACGGCAGAAUCGUCAAAUCGGACACGCUGUUGACGGACCGUAUAAAUAGCAAAUCUGUAUUCCCUCGUGAUUUCAAUUGGCCAUGCGAUUUUGAACGCCGCAUUUACGCAGAAUACUUUCCGCAACGAAACUAUAACGAGGUCCAGAUAUUUCUAACCGUGGGACUGAGUAUAAAAUACAAAUAAUGUGUUCCAUAUGCCUAAAAUAGGACAUUUACAUUAAAAAUUGAGUUGCCGUCUCUAGCGUCCAUCAAUACCGGUGAAUAGUUUAUUCGCGUCGAUAUGCGAGAAUGUAUUGGAGAGUUUUUUGGAGUUCCCAUACACAGGAGAGAAACAUACGUUGUAGCUUUAUUCAAUCCAUUUUGCUCGGCAAAGUUCUUUCUCCUUGUCUAAAAAAAGAUCGAGCGAAGAGAAACGCUUUGAUGAAAGGCUCACGUACGAGCAGUAUCGUUGCAUGGACCUUGUAAUAUACAUAAAGCUUUAUUGCUUGCCAUCCGUGGAAACUUCGCUGAUUGUAUUGCAGGACGAUAACCGUAUCUGUCGUUCCCGCAAUUCUCGAAGCGCACUUGAUCCAUCCCCGUCUUUGACUCCUCUACUUUUAUCCUCCUUUCACUUGCUUCUCUAUUCUACCGGCAUGCCACGAUACUGCGAUUUGUAAUUUGAUGUUACGAUAAAAAUAGUAUGCCCUCUGAAAUUUAUACGCAUUCGCUGUGUAACACAAUUUUAUUUUAUUUUCACAAAAUGUGUGUGUGUUUUUUUUUUUUUUUUUUUUUUUUUAAAUUAAAGUAAAAGUGUUAGUUUGUAAGCUUGCAAUUUUUUUUAUUUUAGAUUUCUUUGGUGGUAAUCGUAUAGCAAUCGUAUUAACACGUUUCUUCAGUGUCGUGGUAUUGCCUUCCGUGCGAGACAUGACUGUUAUAUUUGUGAAAAAACAAAUUGCAUAAUUAUUUCAAAAUUCCCAAAAAUAUUAUUAUAGAAAAAAAUCUAAAUUGCAAUAUAGAAUAAGGUAAAAAUAUUUCAAUAAAUAUUUAUUCAAUAAAACUUUAACAAAAAUAUAACAAAAUAAACAACACACAAAACAUACACGUUUAUUAUUAUAUUAUAUGAUACAAAUCAUGUAAAAUAGAUUCGGCGCGGAAAAAGUUAACAUAGAAUAAAUAAGAAUAGAUAUUUACACUUCGUCAGAAAUCUCGUUGAUAAGUCGAAACUAGAGAAAGAGAAGAGAGAGAGGGAGGAAGAAGAGAGAGUUUGUGAAGCCCGAAUUUUCUUAUUCCCUCCGGUUUGAAACAGGAGUUGAAGCUACUCAACUAAUUAAUUGACGUCCCUAGCCUUUGUAGACGAGAUGUCAGGCACCAAAGACUGACGCCGCGAGGCUCGCGUUUGUAUCUGCUUUUGUGUUUACUCUGCCUUUGUCUUAUAGAUCAUACUCCCACUAUAAGCAUACACAACUUAGCUUGCAGGAACUGAAAACUAAUCUCACUGAUCUGUCCUUUCAAUAUCCCUCAUCUUAUGAUUUCACUAAAUUUUGAUAAAUUGCAUUUUUGAAACAGAUACAGAGAAAUACGUGUUAUGUGUUGGCUUUGUCACGAUUCUAAUAUCACGGACAAAAAGUUAUUUUUUCGUUGUGUAUAUUUUAGCUUAAAUUCAUUAAAAUUAUUUAAUUUUAUUAAAAUUAUGCCAAUUUCAAUGCUUGCCACGAGUUGUAUUUAAAAUUGAAUGUCUGUGUGUAACCAAAAUAAUUUUAAAACAAUUUAAAAAUAAUUCUAUAAUGUCUGUAUGUGUGCGCCAGAGAAAAUUUUGAGAUAUUAUUUAAAGCCAUACAGGAUAAAGUGAUGUAACUCAGUUAUACAGGCAAUUUGGUGAUAAUUGCAUUUACGACUAUGGGCGCAUGGUCUGUAAUCUAUUUAUUAUCGUCGUUUCAAAACUCAUCCUUCAACGUAAUAUAUAUUAUAUCAUCGAUAUUUUGAUGUUGAGCACAUUCGAUUCAUAAUGUUAGUGAAGUUAUAAUUCCAUCUCUUUUUUUCAUGAAAUAUAUAAAAUGAAGGAGAUAAAUAGAACAUGCGAAUAAUAUAAAAAUAACUUAGAGAAAAAAAACAGGGCUCGUAAACCUCGUAAGAUGUUGUGUGCGCUAACAGUUUUAAUGAAUAAUAUAAGCAAAGACAAUCACACAUCUAACAUACAGACCAUGAAUGUGGUCAUUUCCAAUGUAUUAAAAAUUACGAGAACAACUUCUUUUUUAGUUCGCUUGUUAUAAUUCAUUAUGGACGGAUUUUUUCCAUAUCGAUUUAAGCUAUUGUUGUUUACAUAAAAGCUUAAAUGUGUAGAUCUCUUUUACUGAAUAAGACAAAAAGAUUGUGUUGCAAGACGUAUGUACAGAUAAAGUUGACAUCGAGAAUGCUAUAAAUAAAUUAACGUGUAACUGAACAUUACAAAUUAGAAAUUAAAACUUACAGAAACUUUUUGUCUUCAGAUAAUAGUCGAACACCAAGACAGUUAAUUCAACCAGUCAUAAAAAUAUUCUGUAGUUGAAGUUUAAAUUUUAGACAAUUUUAAGUGAUAAAAGAUAUAUAUACAGAUGUCCUACUAUUAAAUUCUAUGUGCAGUUAUUACCUGAGAAACUAAAAAGUUUAUAUAUGUAACUCUACGAUUAAGUGAUACACAAUCUUUUAACAUGCGUGGUUAAGUGAAUGUCGAGAAUAUCGAAGUACUUGAUCUUUGUGAGCUGUGAAACUGUGUGGGGAUGAAAUAACUUUUGCUGAUUGGAUUGACAGGAGAUAAAUCAGUUUUAAGGAGUGGGGAGACGAUCUAAGAUGGAAAGAUAUGCAUCAGAAAGAGGUAUCGUGUUUAUUCAGUUCCUUCUUUUGUUUUUUUUUAUGUAAAUCAUUCUGGAUGUUAAUUUUUUCUAAUAAUAAGGUUCAAUUAACACCUGAACUUUGUUCCAAUUUAUAUUGUGAUCCUCUUCCAUACAAUGACUCACGAGAACACUUGAGAAUAUAUAUAUUUUUUUACAUUU